AGCCCAAUAGCACAGUUGGUUAGUGCACCUGAUUUGUAAGUCCUUAUCUUUAAACAGGAGACCUUCGUUCAAUUCGGGGUUGGGUCA